AAAAGUGGAAAUAAUGCCAAGUUCGUUUAAAAUACAGUUGUAAUAAUGAACCUUACAAACAAAGACAAUGUUGUUACAAGCAUUGUCAGCUGGAACCAAAACACAUUCCUCAUGUAACCUAUCUAAUUAUUUUACCACUUCUGGUUUACUACACACGGAAGGAUAGCUGCCCAUCGUCUGGCAUAAUCCUCGACAGAACCCAUAAUAGAAAUGAAGUUCUAUCGCCAAUUGAAAGACCGAGGUUCUCUGUAUUAAAGACCUUUUAGAAUAAGUGAUCCGAGGUCCUCAUUUUCAACUGUAUCAACAGUAAUGACAUGUCAACAUUACCAGUGAUGACAUAUCCAGCUGGACUAUAGUUGAAAGAAUAUCAAGAACACGGAGGAUUAAGUAUAAGAUGGUCUAUAUCUAGGCACUGCAAAAUUGUUUAUAAUUGAAAAGUUUGGGUGCAAUAGUAGAAGUAUAUUUGUAGGAAAUACUGGGUAUAGACUUGAACUUAAAAUAAGUUGGAAUACACGACUGAAGUUUUUUAUGACAAAGAAUAGUGCUUAUGUUGACGGCAUCUAUUCCUUUGUUUGUAAAUUUGAGCUGAAGGAACUGGUGGCACGAUUUGGAAGGAACAUCAUCCAUGACCCGUGGUGGUUUAAAGACGCGGUGACUGGCAACAUCCAUAAUCAUAGAGUUCGGUCUAUAUUCAAGUGUUGAAAAAUCCAAGUAUAGACUAGCUGUGGCUCCUUGAAAUAACGUAUGUAAAACUCUCAAUGGAACAGAGUAGAGUUUUGUGCGAAUAUGAUGUGGACGUAAUUGUCUGUUGACGUAAGGUAAAAGUGAAUCAAACGUGACAUCAUUUAUACUUGGUAUUUUAUACGAACGGUGUCCAUGACUGCGUUUCCGUAUGCAUAUCAUAGAAUGAUUCCCCUGAUAUCCACGAUUUAACUUAUAUAUAUUUAGAAAGUAGUAGUUUUUAAACUGUUGAAAUUUAAAUUUUACCAUUUCCAACAGGUUUUAUGAAUUUUUAUAAUGCUGACUUAUACUUCUCUUUAUGUAUGCCGGACAUCUUUUAAAAGGUAGCAACAUGCAUAUGUUUGUUCGCUUGUGGUUAAUUAAACUAUAUUAAGUGAA